UGUUGGUAUGAAUGGCACAAGUGAAGCCUUAUCAAGUGGAAACGAGUGCAACAUGGUCUUGGGUCCCGUAAGAUUUUGCUAGUAUUAAUAUUCUCCAAGGUUUCCUCUUUUAAACCUAAUGACCUGAGAUUUAGACUGUAAAAAAUAUUAAUAUUGAACAUCUAGUUUUUUUAUUUGCGCCUAAAGAUUGAGACGAAUGGAAAGAAACUUGUUUUUUUCUUUGUUCGAAUAAAUCGAGAUUAAGUGCAUACCCUUUUGCUUAAUCUAUAAUGAAUAACUUUAGAGGUUAUGUAGGCUAUAGAAAACCAACUUUUCAUGAUACUUCUUUUUUGCACUUGUCAAG
rnacentral:lncRNA from 1 species